rnacentral:rRNA from 1 species
UACGUAGGGUGCAAGCGUUAUCCGGAAUUAUUGGGCGUAAAGAGCUCGUAGGCGGUUUGUCGCGUCUGCUGUGAAAACCCGAGGCUCAACCUCGGGCCUGCAGUGGGUACGGGCAGACUAGAGUGCGGUAGGGGAGAUUGGAAUUCCUGGUGUAGCGGUGGAAUGCGCAGAUAUCAGGAGGAACACCAGUGGCGAAGGCGGCUCACUGGACCGGAACUGACGCUGAGGCGCGAAAGCGUGGGGAGCAAACAGG